rnacentral:tRNA from 1 species
GCCUUUGUGGUGUAGUGGUGAGCACAUCGGCGCAGAGAAGAGGGUUCAAGAGGUCCGUGGUUCGAAUCCCGGCGAGGGCA